rnacentral:lncRNA from 1 species
CGGGGCGCGCGCCCCGGCCCAGCCCAGCCUCCGCCUAACACCGCCUUAAAGCAAAAAUACCUGCUAGAGCCGGGCCUGCCGUGCAGACUUACACGGAGGUCUUCUGCGCCCGGAGGGCAAUGUUUUCCGNGGACGCGCCCGGGGACGCGGGGCGCGCGCCCCGGCCCAGCCCAGCCUCCGCCUCCAACCGCCUUAAAGCAAAAAUACCUGCUAGAGCCGGGCCUGCCGUGCAGACUUACACGGAGGUCUUCUGCGCCCGGAGGCGUAAAGCCCCUCAAGACGGAGCCUUCCUCGUCUGUGCACUUCCCCUUGACGUGACAGUGGUGACAACUGAGAGAGACCACGGAGCCGUGGCGAGCCCUGAGGCAGCCCGUCAUGCUGCAGGCGGACGGCUUCGCAGAAAUCAGGGGCAGCGGAACCAGGCCUCACAGCCCGUGUCUGGAGCAGAGCCUGGGCUCCCUCGUAGCAAAGUGGGACAGCACGUUCCAAACGAUGGUCUCCCCACCCCUGGAGAAAACAAUCCUAAAUGGUGGAUGCAUUACCAAAAGCAAGAAGCAACUACCUGAGGGACCUUCUCCGGCACUUGGAGGGAGCCCUGCGUCCCUGCGUCCCUCUGGGGUCACCAGCAGCAAGUGCUCAAGGGAGGGCCGUGUCCGCCCUCCGUCACCAGUUCCCAUCAAACCGGCUGCGGCUGUAAGACAAACGCCAGCUCAGAUCUACACAUUCUGUGAGUUAGCUAAUGUCUUCAUGUCCUUGCUUAAAUGAAUAAAAAUGGAAAGCUUAGUUUCA